GUCCACGCCCUAAACGAUGUCAACUAGUUGUCGGGGAUUCGUUUCCUUGGUAACGCAGCUAACGCGUGAAGUUGACCGCCUGGGGAGUACGGCCGCAAGGUUAAAACUCAAAGGAAUUGACGGGGACCCGCACAAGCGGUGGAUGAUGUGGAUUAAUUCGAUGCAACGCGAAAACCUUACCUACGCUUGACAUGCCAGGAAUCCUGAAGAGAUUUUGGGAGUGCCCGAAAGGGAACCUGGACACAGGUGCUGCAUGGCUGUCGU
rnacentral:rRNA from 1 species